GACGAACGCUGGCGGCGUGCUUAACACAUGCAAGUCGAGCGGAGCGGCGCACGGGUGAUUAACGCGUGAGUAACUGCCCCCCUCUCUGGGAUAACAGUUGGAAACGGCUGCUAAUACAGGAUAGUGGGGGAUGACUCGCGUCCUAUCAGCUUGUUGGUGGGGUAGUGGCCUACCAAGGCGACGACGGGUAGCCGGACUGAGAGGGCGACCGGCCACAUUGGGCUGAGAUACGGCCCAAAAUCCUACGGGAGGCAGCAGUGGGGAAUAGUGCACAAUGGGGGGAACCCGGAUGCAGCGACGCCGCGUGCGGGAUGACGGCCUUCGAGUUGUAAACCGCGUUCAGCCAUGACGCGGUAGUGGAAGAAGAUGCACCGGCUAACUACGUGCCAGCAGCCGCGGUAAUAC
rnacentral:rRNA from 1 species